UAGGGAAUUUUGCGCAAUGGGCGAAAGCCUGACGCAGCAACACCGCGUGAGGGAUGAAGCUUUUUGGAGUGUAAACCUCUGUCAGUGGGGACGAAACCUGACGGUACCCACAAAGGAAGCAUCGGCUAACUACGUGCCAGCAGCCGCGGUAAGACGUAGGAUGCAAGCGUUGUCCGGAAUCAUUGGGCGUAAAGAGUUCGUAGGCGGUGUAUCAAGUCUGGUGUUAAAGCCCGGAGCUCAACUCCGGUUCGGCACUGGAUACUGGUAUGCUAGAGUGCAGUAGAGGCAAGGGGAAUUCCCAGUGUAGCGGUGAAAUGCGUAGAUAUUGGGAGGAACACCAGUGGCGUAAGCGCCUUGCUGGGCUGUUACUGACGCUGAGGAACGAAAGCCAGGGGAGCAAAUG
rnacentral:rRNA from 1 species